rnacentral:rRNA from 1 species
GACGAACGCUGGCGGCGUGCCUAAUACAUGCAAGUAGAACGCAGUUGCGAACGGGUGAGUAACGCGUAGGUAACUGCCUCAUAGCGGGGGAUAACUAUUGGAAACGUUAGCUAAUACCGCAUACUGUGUGUUGGCCCUGCGUUGUAUUAGCUAGUUGGUGUGGUAAAGGCUGACCAAGGCGACGAUAAAUAGCCGACCUCAGAGGGGGAGCGGCGACAAUGAGACGGAGACACGGCCCUGACUCCUACGGGAGGCAGUCGUAGGGAAUCGUCGGAAAUGGACGGAAGUCUGACCAAGCAACGCAGCGUGAGUGAAGAAGGUUUACGGAUCGUAAAGCGCUGUAGUUAGAGAAGCGGUAACUAGCCAGAAAGGGACGGCUAACUACGUGCCAGCAGCCGCGGUAAGAC